GCUGGCAGUAUCGGUCUAGUCUGAUUGUAAUCACAUUGAAAAAAAUAAAAUUUUAAAAAUUGAAUUUAUUGUUUUAAAAGGGCAAAAAUAAUUUAGAAUUAAAACUGGAUACUAAUCUUAAAGAUUUUGGUCUAAAGUGGGCCAAACGAACCAAUAACACUUAGCGGGUUGGACUGAGAUCAAGUUGGGCAUAAGUCCAACAUAUAAAUACCCUAACUAGCGAGCAUUCAGCUCAUUUUCACCAAGAAACAAAGAAAGGGGCGCUGAACUUGUGAAGAGAAGAAGAAAAUCAUUUUUACUAUUUAUCUCCUCCUUCUUUUGGCCAUAACUUGAGUUACAGAGCUCUGAUUGACGAGCCGUUUACAGCCACGUAAAGCUCUCAUCGAACUCUUCGUUUUUAUCUAAGAAAAUCUGGUAAGAAUUCAAAACUCACGCUCCAAUUUCUGUCCUAAUGAAAUCUACGAUUUUACAUUUGGUUUUUGAGUAGAUUUUGUGAUUUUGUUUGUUUAGGGGUGAUCUAGCAUUGAAAUAUUGUUGGGUUUCGCCCCUAAUCUCGUUGGGUAAGAUUGAGGUUUGAUGUUUAUUGGAGUGAGCUUGAUGGUUUUGGAGCUUUAAGCUUGAGCUUGGUGUUUUGAGUUGCGUGGGAAUUGGGCAAGGUCAGGUAGGCGGCGACGAUGGGAUUGCAAGGAGGUUAGGUUGGUGGAGGCUGUGGGAUACAACAGUGUGACUAGUUUUAGUUAGAAAUCUCCUAAGAUUAGAUAACCCUAUUUAUGGUUUAUGGUUUAAAUUAUUUAUUUUCAUUAAGCUUGAAUAUCUGUUUUUGAUGUGAAGUUCUAGGAUUGCCUCUGGCAUCUCAGAACCUUAUAUCUUACAUAUUAGGCACUGUUACCAUACUGAGAACCUCCGGUUCUCAUACCAUAUGUUGUUGUUUUUCAGAUGUAGGUCGCAACCCACCUCGGUGAGUUUGCGAGU